GGCUACACUGCAGUCGACGGUGACACGGAGCUUGCUCUGUGGGAUCAGUGGCGAACGGGUGAGUAACACGUGAGCAACCUGCCCCUGACUCUGGGAUAAGCGCUGGAAACGGCGUCUAAUACUGGAUAUGUGACGUGACCGCAUGGUCUGCGUCUGGAAAGAAUUUCGGUUGGGGAUGGGCUCGCGGCCUAUCAGCUUGUUGGUGAGGUAAUGGCUCACCAAGGCGUCGACGGGUAGCCGGCCUGAGAGGGUGACCGGCCACACUGGGACUGAGACACGGCCCAGACUCCUACGGGAGGCAGCAGUGGGGAAUAUUGCACAAUGGGCGCAAGCCUGAUGCAGCAACGCCGCGUGAGGGACGACGGCCUUCGGGUUGUAAACCUCUUUUAGCAGGGAAGAAGCGAAAGUGACGGUACCUGCAGAAAAAGCGCCGGCUAACUACGUGCCAGCAGCCGCGGUAAUACGUAGGGCGCAAGCGUUAUCCGGAAUUAUUGGGCGUAAAGAGCUCGUAGGCG
rnacentral:rRNA from 1 species